ACGCUCGACACCUACGGGAGGUAGCAGUGGGGAAUAUUGCACAAUGGGGGAAACCCUGAUGCAGCGACGCCGCGUGAGUGAAGAAGUAAUUCGUUAUGUAAAGCUCUAUCAGCAGGGAAGAAAGUGACGGUACCUGAGUAAGAAGCCCCGGCUAACUACGUGCCAGCAGCCGCAGUAAUCUGAGCGGGCUGGCAAGGC
rnacentral:rRNA from 1 species